rnacentral:rRNA from 1 species
AUACGGAGGAUCCGAGCGUUAUCCGGAUUUAUUGGGUUUAAAGGGUGCGCAGGCGGCCAUUUAAGUCAGCGGUUAAAUCGUGGGGCUCAACCCCAUUCUGCCGUUGAUACUGGGUGGCUUGAUUGCGGUCGAGGUUGGCGGAAUUCGUUGUGUAGCGGUGAAAUGCGUAGAUAUGACGAAGAACACCGAUUGCGUAGGCAACUGACCUGCACGGAAAUGACGCUCAUGCACGAAAGUGCGGAGAUCGAACAGGAUUAGAUACCCUGGUAGUCCGCACAGUAAACGAUGAAUACUUGUUUUCGGCGAUAUAAUGUCGGAGCUAAAGCGAAAGCGAUAAGUAUUCCACCUGGGGAGUACGCCGGCAACGGUGAAACUGAAAGGAAUUGACGGGG